UGCUAAGGACGCGCUUUGUGCUGUGAAACGCUGGAGAUGCGCUCGAAUAAACCGCACGACGCUCGCACUAAAGCGCCGCCUGCGCGAUUCCUGCCGCCUGCGGGUCACAGCUAUCAGCAGCAUCUGGCAGCAGUGCGGGCUUUACUGCCCGACAGACGGAGCAAACCCAUCCUCAACGCGUCGGAGCUUGAUCUGAAGUUAUCAAAUGACCUGCAGAAAGCACUGAGUGUGGACUCAUUGAAACCAAACCCGUCCAAAACCG